rnacentral:pre_miRNA from 1 species
CUGAGAUUGGCGUGUGGGCAUAUCCAUCACUUUUUGAGAUAUGCCGCGCCGAUUUCAAUC